UGCCAGCAGCCGCGGUAAUACGAACCGGGCAAACGUUAUUCGGAAUUACUGGGCUUAAAGGGUGCGUAGGCGGCGCUUCAAGUCGGGUGUGAAAUCCCCCAGCUCAACUGGGGAACUGCGCCCGAAACUGUAGUGCUUGAGGAAGAUAGAGGUGAGCGGAACGAAUGGUGGAGCGGUGAAAUGCGUUGAUAUCAUUCGGAACACCCGUGGCGAAGGCGGCUCACUGGGUCUCUUCUGACGCUGAGGAACGAAAGCUAGGGGAGCGAACGGGAUUAGAUA
rnacentral:rRNA from 1 species